rnacentral:rRNA from 1 species
UGCGGAUUAAUUCGAUGCAACGCGAAGAACCUUACCAAGGCUUGACAUAUAGAGGAAAAGCGUAGAAAUACGCUCCCCGCAAGGUCUCUAUACAGGUGGUGCAUGGUCGUCGUCAGCUCGUGUCGUGAGAUGUUGGGUUAAGUCCCGCAACGAGCGCAACCCUCGUCCUAUGUUGCCAGCACGUAAUGGUGGGAACUCAUGGGAGACUGCCGGGGUCAACUCGGAGGAAGGUGGGGAUGACGUCAAAUCAUCAUGCCCCUUAUGUCUUGGGCUUCACGCAUGCUACAAUGGCCAGUACAAAGGGCUGCGAUACCGUAAGGUGGAGCGAAUCCCAUAAAGCUGGUCUCAGUUCGGAUUGAGGUCUGCAACUCGACCUCAUGAAGUCGGAGUCGCUAGUAAUCGUAGAUCAGCAACGCUACGGUGAAUACGUUCCCGGGCCUUGUACACACCGCCCGUCAAGUCACGAAAGUCGGUAACACCCGAAGCCGGUGGCCUAACCGUAAGGAA